ACACACACACACACACACACACACACACACACAAAGAGAGAGAGAGAACAUUCAUAAAAAUCUGCACGAAACAGGUGGUAAGUGUUAACAUAUUGUUUGGUGAUCCCUCCUCACGUGCACUCUCCUACUAACAUGACACACACACACAGGUGUGCUCUGUUUCUCCUUGUUGCAGAAUGCACACACAGACACACACACACACACACACACACACACACAAAGAGAGAGAGAACAUUCAUAAAAAUCUGCACUAAACAGGUGGUAAGUGUUAACAUAUUGUUUGGUGAUCCCUCCUCACGUGCACUCUCCUACUAACAUGACACACACACACACAGGUGUGCUCUG